UACGGAGGGUGCAAGCGUUAUCCGGAUUCACUGGGUUUAAAGGGUGCGUAGGCGGGCAGGUAAGUCAGUGGUGAAAUCCUAGAGCUUAACUCUAGAACUGCCAUUGAUACUAUCUGUCUUGAAUAUUGUGGAGGUAAGCGGAAUAUGUCAUGUAGCGGUGAAAUGCUUAGAUAUGACAUAGAACACCUAGUGCGAAGGCAGCUUACUACGCAUAUAUUGACGCUGAGGCACGAAAGCGUGGGGAUCAAACAGG
rnacentral:rRNA from 1 species